UUCUGAUGUAACAGCGACAGUUUGUCUUUUCCAACAACUGAUAGAACCACGUUUUCCUCUUUCGUUUAAGAGUUUUAAUCGUGAAGAUAUUGCAGCUCUAUCAGUUGUUGGGAAAGAAAAACUCUUAGUUUUACAUCAGGA